UAAGGCGAGCGCUUUUGCUGCUUGAAGUCCCCAUAUCAGCAAAUGAGGUGGUCCUGCAAUAAAGGCUGUUAAGAAGAAUCCGACGGUGUUGCGUCUUCCUUGCCGGACGAGUAAUUUAAACCACGUGGAUGCAAAGAAUGAUACAAAAAUUUCACAAUUUCUUCUCCUGGGAAUUUCAGAGGACACAAAUGGAGCCUGUCCUAUUUAGACUGUUCCUGGUCAUGUACGUAGUUACAGUGCUUGGGGACUUUGCUUAUCAUCUUGCUCACCAUCUCAGACUCUUACCUGUACAGACCCAUGUACUCCUCCUCUUCAACUUGCCACUUGUGGAUAUGUUUCUCCUCCACCACUGUACCGAAGAUACUAGUGAACCUUGAAUCACAAUGUAUAAAAACUGCAUCACCCAAAUGCUUCCCUUCAUAUUCUUUUCGGGACUGGAUAUCUUUCUAUUUACCAUAAUGGCUUAUGACUGAUAUGUUGCCAUUUGUAAGCCCUUGCAUUACAAAGUUGUCAUGAAUCCCAGAUUCUGUGUGUUAAAUGUUCUGAUAUCCUGGACAGUCAAUGUCUUGCAUGUCUCAUUACAAGGCUUCAUGGUUUUACAAUUGUCCUACUGCACAGAAUUGAAAAUUUAUCACUUUUUUCUGUGAGCUUAAUCAGGUGUUACAACUUGCCUGUUCAGACAACCUCCUUGAGGUUCUUGUCGUGUAUCUUUUACCUGUGUCGUUGGCAGCUGGAUCCCUCAUUGUCAUCCUCUGCUCUUACUCUGAAAUACUUUCCUGCAUACAUGCCAUCUCACCAGCUCAAGGGAAGUACAAAGCAUUUUCUACUUGUGCAUCACAUCUCUCAGUUGUCCCUUUAUUUUAUUGCACAGGAAUAAGUCUAUACCUGAGUUCUAUUGCAACAGAAAACUCACAGAAAACAGAGCCCCAGUUUUGUACAGCGUGGUCAUUCUAUUUUGACAUAGAAACAAAUCACACCUGUUGAGUCUUAAGAAAUCCCCAUGAGUGCAGGAUUCAGAUCCUCAUGUUGAGAUCUGAAUACACUGAUCUGAUGAUGAAGUAGAUUAUGCUCCUUUUAUUAUAUUAUUGAAAGUUCUCUUUCUCUAAGCUCAGCUUCACUAUUUGAUUGAUAAUUCUAUUUAUUAUAUUUUAUGAUCAGUGAAAUAGCCAACCAUCCACACGUUGUCAUUUUCUAUAUUUUGUCCAGAAAAACUUUAAAAUUUUAAGACCUCUAUUACCACGUUUAAGCAUAAUUUAACUUCAAAUGGCAUAUAUAACAAAUAAAUCUUCUGUUCUUUAAAAUAAUAAUAAAUGUUAUUACUGUUAGGAAAACCUGCACUCAGCAUACAAAGCUUUAUAUAUAAUUUUAUAAAGGAAAUCAGAAACUAUAGUUUUUCAAUGUGUAUUCUUCAUUUCAUGGUAUGUCAUGAGCUUAAGCCCUUUGGGGUAAUGUAUUAGUAUGUUAUGGUUGGAGAUUGGAUUUUAUUUCCAUGCUCAUUUUUUCCUUUUUAGAUCACUAGCAUGUGUGUACCAGCAUCUUGUAAUCUAAUGUUUGAAGUCUUAGCUAUAAUAAGACAAGAGAGUUAUUAAAGGGGUAAAUAUGGUAACUAAAGAAGUCCAACUAUUCCUGGUUAUAAAUGACAUGAUUCUCUGCUUAAUAGAACCCAAGACUUUAUCAAAAAACAUCUUUUAUAUAUAAUAAACAUGAUCAGUAAAGGAACAGGAUAAAAAUUAAGGUAAAACUCAGUAUCUUCUAUAUAUACAAAAAAAAUGAACUUGGCUGAGUAUCAAAUCGGGGAAGUAUCACACUCAUGAUAGUUGAAAAAAAAUAAAGUACCCAGGAAUAGUGAUAACAAAAGAAAUGGAAGACCUCUGCAACAAAAACUUAAGACAGUGUAAAAAGAAACUAAAGAAAGUUGAAAUGAUGGUGAGACUUUCCAUGGUCCAGGGUUGGCAGAAUUACUAUUGUGAACACUGUCAAAAUUCUAAUGUAAUUCCUAUCAAAUUUUCGGUAUCAUAUUCAUAGAACUGUGAAAAUUUCAAAAUGUAUAUGGAAACACAAAAUGUCACAUAGACAAAGCCAUUAUACGCAGAGUAAACACUGCUAAAAGUAUGACAAUACAUGGCCUCAAACUAUACUAUAACGGUGUAGCACUUUAAAUGAGACCAUCCCCCAUAGGCUCUGGCAUUUGAAUAUUUGAUCCCUAGCUAGUAUUGCUGUUUGGAGAUGCUUUGGAGAUCUGGGCUUGCUGGGGGAAGCAUAUCAUCUGGGCCAGGUUUUGAGGUAUAAAAGCCUCAUGCAAUUUCCUAUUUGCUCUUGCUGCCUCCUGCUUGUGGUUCAAGAUGUGAGCAUAUAGCCUCUGUUCAUGCCAUAAUGCCGGCCACGUGUUACCAUCGUGGACUCUUAAAUCCUCUAGAAGUACAAGUAAACCCUUUUCCCUCUAAGUUGCCUUGGUCAUGAUAUUUAUCAUGGCAAUAGAAAAGUAGGUAACAUAAAUGGAAUAGGGGAUUCAGAAGUAAACCCACGUGGUUUUGGCAAGAGUAUCUGAACAUAAACUUGUUUUUGAAGACAGCCUUCUGUCCUAGCUACUGUGGGCUCAUAUGUGCAACUUCCGAUGUUAUGCAGCACACAUCAUCUUCUUGUAGUCACAGUCUCUGAAUUUUAUGAACUUUAUGCUACCUCUUCUGUGAUGAUCUAUGGGCCUUAGGAGGGGGACAUAUGCUAGAGGUGGCCCAUUUAUAGCUAUUCUUAAUUUUUUUUUGAGCUGGGGACUGAACCCAGGGCCUUGCGCUUGCUAGGCAAGCGCUCUACCACUGAGCUAAAUCCCCAACCCCCAUUAUUCUUAAUUCUUUAUUUUUCAGCAUCUUCAUCUCUCCACUUGGCCAAUUGGAGAUCUGUGUGUUCAUUGCCAUCUACUAAAAAAUAGCCAUGCUUCUCCAAUGAGGGUUAAGAGAUACAUGAGUCUAUGGUUACAAUGGGAAAUUAGUCUUGCCCAAACUCAAGCCAAACAAAAACCAUGGAGAGGGGAGGUGAAUAUGAAGCCCCACCCCUAUCUAAGAAGCUAUUGGAAGAAGAAGAGCCAUAUUUUUAACUGUGUGAGUCUAGUGGCUCAACCAUGCUGCAAUAGGUGGCCACAUACCUAAGAGUACAUGUAUAGCACAGUUCAAAUUUGAUGCAUUUAUUUUUUAAGAAAGCAAACAGAAAGUUGGGUGUGUAAAGGUGGUGGUGCAGAUAUGGGCUGAAUUUGUGGUUAAUGGGAUCAAAUACAUCAUUAUGAAAUCCUCAACAAUUUUUUAAUAAAAGAGGGAAAGAUAUCUGCUUAACAAAUGGUGCUAACAAAUAAGAUAUUCACCUGCAGAAGAAUAAAAUUAAAUCUAUGUUUCUCCCUCUGUAUAAAUUCAAACUGAAACAAAGGCCUUAAUUUACAAGCUAAAAUUAUGAAACUGCCAAGAAUAAAAUCAUAAGAAGUAUACCUCAAGCUGUACCUAUGAGAAUCUUAUAAGUGUUUUGACAGUUCAACAUCUUGGAGAGGCUUCAGAAAAAGAAGGCCAUAAAUGCAUGGAAACCUCCAGCUAUCCAACCAACUUCAUCAGUUGUAAAAGAUAAUGUGGACCAGUUCUAUACUUAUAUCUGGCCAGUUGGUCCGUGGGAAUUGCAAUAUCUUGUAGCAUAUGGAGCAGUUAUGCAUAUAUAUCAAACUUAUUGGUUCUUGAAAUUUUUCAAUUUUUUUUGGUGGUGCUUAUCUUUAUUUGUUUUAUUGAAUUUUUAAAUUUACAUUUCAAAUGCUAUUGCCUUUGAACCACCCACCCCGUCCUGCCUGCCUGUCCUGACAUUCCCCUACAAUGGGGUGUCCAGCCUUGGCAAGACCAAGGGCCUCGCCUCCCUCUGGUGCCCAAUAAGGCCAUCCUCUGCUACAUAUGCAACUAGAGCCAUAGGACUAUCCAUAUGUACUCUUUGGAUGGUGGUUUAGACCCUGUGAGCUCUGGUUGAUUUGGUAUUGUUGUUCUUAUGGGGUUGCAAACACCUUCAGCUCCUUCAGUCUAACUCCUCCAAUAGGGACCCUUUUCUCAGUUAAAUGGUUGGCUGCAAGCAUUCACUUCUGUAUUUGUCAAGCUCUGGCAGAUCCUUUCAGGAGAUAGCUAUAUCAGGCUCCUGUCAGCAUGCACUUCUUGGCAUCAGCAAGAUUUUGUGGGUAUGGUGGCUGUAGGUAUAUGGGCUGGAUCUCCAUGUGAGGCAGGUUCUGAAUGGCCAUUCCUUCAGUCUAUGCUCCAAACUUUGUCUCUAUAUCCCCUCCUAUGAAUAUUUUUGUUCUUCCUUCUAAGAAGGACUGAAGAAGUUGUCCUCC